UCUUAGCAUGUAACCGUAUCA
rnacentral:piRNA from 1 species